UUCUUUUCCGAAGCUGUACUUGCGUGGAUCAGCGUCGCUCGGGGUCCAAUCACUUGAGACCAACCAGUCCGGAUAUUUAGAAAAUGUUUAUUCCAGCUGGGGAAAAGACGGGAAUGAGAUCUCUCCGAUGGGGCCGAGCGUGCAGCAGCAGCAGCAGCAUGCGCGGCGCGGCGCGGGAUCCACGCCCCGUCGGUUCCUCCUCGGCACGCUUUUACCAUCUGACAAGCAAACAGGUGCAGUCCUCAAGAGAUGCCUCCAUCCCCACAACCUCCUUCCUCCCAACACCACUGCGACCUCACUCAGAAUGCAUGAAGAGGAGGAGAAAGAAGAAGAAGACGGAGAAGAAAUAAAUAAAGGCGAAAUGAGCCCCAGAACCGGGAGGAGAGGAGGAGAAGGAGAGAAAGGAGACGGAGAGGAGCAUUGUGGGCCCCUUUGCUCCGGUCUCGACCACGGGUAUUCUUGGGUUGAUAAUACAGAUGUGGAUGUUAUUGCUUGAGAAUACGCGUAGUCGAGUGGAGGCUUCAUCAUCUACAGUCGACCCAAAAGCAGAGCUCCAACCAGUAGAGUAUACCGAGGCGUGACACCAGGCACAUACGUGUGAAUGUAGCGAGCUGAGCUAGUGAUAGCGACACAGGGUGGUUUUUAAUGAAGCACCCAGAGGUGACUUUUUCUGGGCUUUAUUUUGUUCAAUCAGAAAUGGUUUUGUUAUUUUAAAAUGGAAUUCACGGCUACAGCCAAAUCCAAUUGGAUUGCCAGCAGCUGAAGAGUUGGGUUUUUUCUCUCUCUCUCUCACUCUGCUGGGUUUAUCAACCAUGUCCCUCUCUCACACCUGUGGAAUAAAUGAGUUGGUCUCGCUGGCCAGGUUUAGCCUUCCCUACUCGGCAGUGCUGCUGGAGAUGACUCGCACCUUGCAUUUAAGCUAACCCCCCUCCCCACCCCCCGUCCUGGGGGCAUUAGUUUCGGGGAGCUUAAACCCAAAGUCCCCAUACUCAGACUUUAAUUCCAAACCCUACUUGAUUACAUUACCCUUGUCGGUCCGUGGUGCUUACAAGUGAGCCUAUAAUCUUAUCAGCUGAUGAGUGUAUCUCACCGCCUGUCACACGCCCUGCAACAAACGUUUUCCCUCGCGCUGAGCGGAAAUGUGCAAAAUGAAUAUAAAUUAAAUUGGCUCCUCGGACGCAAGCGGGACGGUACAACGUGAGCGUAACCUCCCAUCUCAUCUGACUCCCCUGGCUCGUGCUAUAGGAGCGUGUGAGAGUUUGAUGCCUGAAUCGGCAACAGGCGACAUAACACAUGAGUACAUGUCAAGACUCGCACCCCUGGCUGACAUCUCAGCUGACUGGCUGUAUAUAAUUGGCAGGAGGGGAUUACAUGAUCUAUGCCAGAGGGGAAAUUAUGGGGUCGAUGGAUCUUACAAAAGCAAUACAGACUACCCCCAUAUGUUUGAAUACACACAAACACACACCGGGCGCAGCUGGGUUCACCGGGUCCAGUGUGCCAGUGGGGAAAUAAGGGAUUGAUUGACUUUAUGGGUGACUAUUUUUAGUCAGAGUGAUGGAUGUUUAUGUCUUUUAUUGAUCGAGUCGAGCUGUGGGUCUGAGGCGUUGUUGGACGUCGUGGUGUGCUGAUUGAUCAGGUGUUGGAAUAAAACAGCCCCGGUUUA